CGCAGAGGAGCUCCACUGACUGCUGAUAGAGCUGGUUGGCUGUGAAAGUAUCCGUCACAGCCAAACUGAAUCAUCUACUUCCACAAGGUGCACCUGUGUAAUGAUCAUGCUGUUUAAUCAGCUUCUUGAUAUGCCACACCUGUUUGGUGGAUGGAUGAUCUUGGCAGAGUUAAAAUGCUCACAAACAGGACCUGAGCCCUAGGACCAUGCCCCAGGACUACCUGACAUGAUGACUCCUUGCUGUCCCCAGUCCACCUGGCCGUGCUGCUGCUCCAGUUUCAACUGUUCUGCCUUAUUAUUAUUCGACCAUGCUGGUCAUUUAUGAACAUUUGAACAUCUUGGCCAUGUUCUGUUAUAAUCUCCACCCAGCACAGCCAGAAGAGGACUGGCCACCCCACAUAUGCUCUCUCUAAUUCUCUCUUUCUUUCUCUCUCUCGGAGGACCUGAGCCCUAGGACCAUGCCCCAGGACUACCUGACAUGAUGACUCCUUGCUGUCCCCAGUCCACCUGGCCGUGCUGCUGCUCCAGUUUCACCUGUUCUGCCUUAUUAUUAUACGACCAUGCUGGUCAUUUAUGAACAUUUGAACAUCUUGGCCAUGUUCUGUUAUAAUCUCCACCCAGCACAGCCAGAAGAGGACUGGCCACCCCACAUAGCCUGGUUCCUCUCUAGGUUUCUUCCUAGGUUUUGGCCUUUCUAGGGAGUUUUUCCUAGCCACCGUGCUUCUACACCUGCAUUGCUUGCUGUUUGGGGUUUUAGGCUGGGUUUCUGUACAGCACUUUGAGAUAUCAGCUGAUGUACGAAGGGCUAUAUAAAUACAUUUGAUUUGAUUUGAUUUUGAUUUGAAUUAUAAUCCACAUAAUUCACAUUUCUUGUUGCUACAGGAUUAUUUUCAUGCUGUAUCAAACUGGCUCAAAUUGAGAUCCUACAUCCAUUUGUGUAUUUAUAAAUGAUUGAUACAGUGCCUUCAGAAAGUAUUCCCACCCCUUGACUUUUUCAACAUUUUGUUGUGUUACAGCCUGAAUUUAAAAUGGAUUAAAUUGAG
ensembl:lncRNA